UGGCAGAUUUGAAUUUGAAAGCUUGAAUUAAUAUCAAAACUAAACAUAGACAAAAAUUAGACUAUGAAUUAAUUGGUUUAUUCAUUUAGACGUUUGAUACGAAUCUUCUUUACGCAUGUCUGAAAUGCUAGAAUAUUUUCUCCUUUUGUGGGCCGUUGGAAGGGAGUGGUGAGUCACAUGCAUCGUAUAAAAUUUAGAUCUAUAAGCAAAAUAUACAAACAUUAUAUAAACGUGAUAACGCCACAAAAAUCUGAAUUAUGGCAGUGAAAUACAUAGCAAAUCCUUAGAUUUUUUUAGCUAUUUAGUACGUAUCAAAACAUACUAAUACAUACAAAACACAAACAGAAUGAUACACCGAGUGUCGGUAUUUAAAUUCUUUUAUCAUGCAUGCAAUGCGCUCUUAAUUACGAGAAAGCGCUUUAAUUAAUAUACCAACAUUUUUGCUGUACUCGAUAACAUCAGCAAUAUUCCCUUAACGAUUUGCGUUUUAAUUAAGAAAUAAUUCUUUCAUGCCAUGCUCUAUGCUCAUUUUAACAUGGGUAGGCAUUAUAUUUGUUAAUAUCCUAAUACCGAGCGUUAGCGUGGUAUUAAAUGUUUACAAAUAUAAUGCCUACCCAUGUUAAAAUGAGCAUAGAGCAUGGCAUGAUAGAAUUAUUUCAAUUCUAAUAGGAAUAUUUUGAACUUUUGUACUUCGAAGCGGACCUAUAGUAGACGCUCGAAAUGUCGCCAUUUUGAUUUGAUGAACAAAAACGUUAUAGAAAAAUCAACAGUUUAUCAAUACAAAAAUAACAGAAACAUCUAAACUUUCUUUUAGAAUGUUUUUAUUUAAUUUCCUAGCGAGCAACACCAACUAAAAUGUCCAUUUUGAUCUCUGGCGUUGUUUCAAAAUUAUCUGAUGUUGCAAUUUCAAUUGUGACGUCAAUCAUUUACAGCCCAUGUUCUAUUCGAAUUAGAACAUGGCUUUGUAUCCAAAGCUAAAGAAGAAUGUCAUAUUAGAAUCAGUGAUAUGUUCAUAUGAAUGAUUUGUCUCACUAUCACAAUUGUUUAUAAAUAUCUGCUUUCUUACACAUGUUACAGAAGGGAUUCAAUCUUGUAAACAUUGUAACAGCGGUGCGCUUUGAUUAAAUACAAUUCUAUUUGACAUACAGGUAACCUUAUCAUUGUAAACUUUUUAUAUAUAUAUAUUUCGUUGGGCUUUCAAUAGAAUAAGUAUAUAACAUCCAAUGACCAUGCUGAAUAUAUAUUCAAGACAGCAUAUGACAAAGAUGCUUUGUUAGAUUUUCAACGUGUUCGUUGGGAUGACUUGUCAAUAUUCGUCGGUAGUGUGUCGAUGUUAAAAUCUCAUAAGUUGAAAUAAAUCUGGAAGACAAUUCGACCCUUUUUAUUUCAUCGAUAAAACACCUUUAGAUAAGUUACAUCUACGUCAGUUAUGUAAAUAUACACUUAGUAUAAGAAAAACUUCAUCAAAUUUAGGUGGAAGAGAUGAUUUCGUGAGCCUUCCUCUUGAACUAAAUAUUAAAUUUAAAUUUAUAUUGAGUAUUUUUAGAUUAUAUUCUGAUGACAUUAAUCCUCUUUUGAAUUAAUUCUUUAUUUUGUCUCAAAUCUAAGACUCUACAUGAAUUUAUCUUGGUUCUCAUAUGUUAACCAUGUAUUAGAAGAAACUG
rnacentral:lncRNA from 1 species